AUGACAUAUGCUUUAUUCUUAUUAAGUAUACUUUUAGUUAUAGGAUUUGUAGGUUUUUCUUCUAAACCUUCUCCUUUUUACGGGGAGCUUGGUGUUAAUAAUUAGUGGCGUAGUAGGUUGUGUUAUUGUUCUGAAUUAUGGGGGAGCUUAUAUGGGUCUAAUGGUCUUUCUGAUUUACUUAGGGGGAAUAAUAGUUGUUUUUGGUUAUACUACGGUGAUGGCUAUUGAGGAGUAUCCUGAGGUAUUAGGGUCAGGAACUGAAGUUUUAGGGAGUGCCUUGGUGGGUUUAGCAAUGGAAGUGGCAUUAGUUUGAUGGGUAGCAGAGUAUGACGAGGUGGUGGUAGUAGUUAAUUUUAACAACAUGGAAAGUUGAGUGAUUUUUGAGGGGGAGGGGCCGGGGUUAGUUCGGGAGGACUCUAUUGGUGCGGGUGAUUUAUAUGACUGUGGAAGUUGACUGGUGGUAGUUACUGGUUGAAUGUUGUUUCUUGGCGUAUAUAUAUAGAUUGAAAUUGCUCAGGGU
rnacentral:lncRNA from 1 species